UUGGUCAGCGGCGGACGGGUGAGUAACACGUGGGCAACCUGCCCGCAAGACCGGGAUAACUCCGGGAAACCGGAGCUAAUACCGGAUAACACCGAAGACCGCAUGGUCUUUGGUUGAAAGGCGGCCUUUGGCUGUCACUUGCGGAUGGGCCCGCGGCGCAUUAACUAGUUGGUGAGGUAACGGCUCACCAAGGCGACGAUGCGUAGCCGGCCUGAGAGGGUGACCGGCCACACUGGGACUGAGACACGGCCCAGACUCCUACGGGAGGCAGCAGUAGGGAAUCUUCCGCAAUGGGCGAAAGCCUGACGGAGCGACGCCGCGUGAGCGAAGAAGGCCUUCGGGUCGUAAAGCUCUGUUGUGAGGGACGAAGGAGCGCCGUUCGAAGAGGGCGGCGCGGUGACGGUACCUCACGAGGAAGCCCCGGCUAACUACGUGCCAGCAGCCGCGGUAAUACGUAGGGGGCGAGCGUUGUCCGGAAUUAUUGGGCGUAAAGCGCGCGCAGGCGGUUCCUUAAGUCUGAUGUGAAAGCCCACGGCUCAACCGUGGAGGGUCAUUGGAAACUGGGGGACUUGAGUGCAGGAGAGGAGAGCGGAAUUCCACGUGUAGCGGUGAAAUGCGUAGAGAUGUGGAGGAACACCAGUGGCGAAGGCGGCUCUCUGGCCUGCAACUGACGCUGAGGCGCGAAAGCGUGGGGAGCAAACAGGAUUAGAUACCCUGGUAGUCCACGCCGUAAACGAUGAGUGCUAAGUGUUAGAGGGGUCACACCCUUUAGUGCUGCAGCUAACGCGAUAAGCACUCCGCCUGGGGAGUACGGCCGCAAGGCUGAAACUCAAAGGAAUUGACGGGGGCCCGCACAAGCGGUGGAGCAUGUGGUUUAAUUGGAAGCAACGCGAAGAACCUUACCAGGUCUUGACAUCCCCUGACAACCCAAGAGAUUGGGCGUUCCCCCUUCGGGGGGACAGGGUGACAGGUGGUGCAUGGUUGUCGUCAGCUCGUGUCGUGAGAUGUUGGGUUAAGUCCCGCAACGAGCGCAACCCUCGCCUCUAGUUGCCAGCACGAAGGUGGGCACUCUAGAGGGACUGCCGGCGACAAGUCGGAGGAAGGUGGGGAUGACGUCAAAUCAUCAUGCCCCUUAUGACCUGGGCUACACACGUGCUACAAUGGGCGGUACAAAGGGCUGCGAACCCGCGAGGGGGAGCGAAUCCCAAAAAGCCGCUCUCAGUUCGGAUUGCAGGCUGCAACUCGCCUGCAGAAGCCGGAAUCG
rnacentral:rRNA from 1 species